GGGAUAUAGCUCAGUGGUAGAGUGCUUGCCUAGUAUGCAUGAAGUCCUGGGUUCAAUCCUCAGUACCACCA
rnacentral:tRNA from 1 species